UACGUAGGGGGCAAGCGUUGUCCGGAUUUACUGGGCGUAAAGAGCGUGUAGGCGGCCAAACAGGUCCGUUGUGAAAACUGGAGGCUCAACCUCCAGACGUCGACGGAAACCGUGUGGCUAGAGUCCGGAAGAGGAGAGUGGAAUCCUGGUGUAGCGGUGAAAUGCGCAGAUAUCAGGAAGAACACCAAUGGCGAAGGCAGCUCCUCUGGGAC
rnacentral:rRNA from 1 species